UGGCUCGCGCCCGUAGUCUGGAGAAUUAAUCGCCAGGGUUGCGUUGCGGUGUGCCCCGGUUCGAGUCUUAGCGCGCCGGAUCGGCCGGUUUCCGCGACGUUUUUAAGACCCCGCCAGCCGACUUCUCCAGUUUACGGGAGCGAG
rnacentral:ncRNA from 1 species